rnacentral:antisense_RNA from 1 species
AACUGAAAAAACAAAUUAAGCAACAGAAGAAAAACAAAUCCAGAGAAAUAGCCUCUUCCAGGGAAGUCUGACCUCCCUGUCUAGAAGGUGAGGACAGUGCUGCAGCCGUGUUUCUGCUGGCUCUGGCCCGAGGCUGUCUCCCAGACAGCUGCUGUCCCACUGAGUUAGGUUCAAGCGAACAUGGCCAUUGAGAUCCAAAGUAUUUCUGGCUGGUUCGGGCAUGAGUCCUUUCUCUAGAUGAAUAUUUUAAUGUGGGAAUUCAGAGGAAAGCUAUGGGGAAGGCAGUGUUGGUCAACUGACGACGCUAAAGAAACACCUUCGGUGGUUGUCACGGUGAGUUUGGCACUGAAGGCUCUUUGCUGUUCUGACCUGAAGCUCUCUGUUAGGACUUCCUGCUGUUUUUCUCACAAGCCCUCAUUCUCGCUGACAGUUCAGAUCAUGCCCUGUGCAUAUCCAGUUUCCCCGGUAGGCACGGCUCCUCCUUUCACCUCAGUGCCCCCCUUUCCGCUCGGCCCACACUGGACUCUUGCUACCUCUUGUUUUGGCUUAUGUUUAAUCUUACUUUUUUAAGGCAACAUCUUCUGAUUGUGAAAUAAUUUAUACUUUUUUUUUGCAGAGAAUGUGGAAAAUACAGAAAAGUAUAAGCAGAAGCAUAAAAAUUAUUCACAGUUGCACCCUUGGAGGGAGCUGUCCUAUAAAUCUUGGUGAAUUUGCUGCCCUUCUUUUUUCUGUGGAUCUAUCUAUUACAUGUGAUAGUUUUUAAAGCUGAUGUCAUGUUAUUGAUGUAUUUUUGCUUCUUGCUUUAUCCAUUGAAGAUUAUAAUGUGAGAAAUUUCCUCGCUGGGGCUCUUGCCAAACCUGAUAUUUACUGACCACACCAAUAUUCUAUUGAAUGAGGGAGUGUCAUAAUUCAAUCACUUAUAGUUUCCAGAAACGUUGUGCUCAUUUACAUUUUCCUUAGCAGCAUAUGAGGGUGCAUGAAUCCCAUCAUCACAACGCAAUGGAAUUAGGGAGAAAUGCCAGUGAAAGAUGAAGAGAGAUGAGGCAGGACUAGCAGGAGCGCCUCAGACCCUCAUUUCUGCAGGCAAGAAAGGAAAGGAUCCUGUGGAAGGGUCUCCCACUGCUGUGUGAUUCUAAAAGCUUUGGGCAGGGGAUAGGGAGUCUCCAAACCAAAGCCUGGUGGCCAUUCUGUGACAGGCAGGAGUGGGCUGCUAUGAGGACCCUGGUCAUGUUGAAGCUUUGGCUGGGGGUCACCAAGAGGUGGAUAGCUGGAGCUGUCAGUCAACUCUGCUUCCCAGGGGCAGAUUCUCUCAAAACAGACCAGAACUAUGUAGCCCUUGCUCCCCCAUGCCCACCCCACUUCACCUGAUAAACAGGAAAUAUAAUUAAAACAUAUAAUUAUGAACUGUGAAAAUGGUCUAAUUUUGCUGGUUUUCAUUCUUCUGAUUAACCUUGAUGUCAAACAUUUCUCAUGAAUUUUGUUACAUACUUGUACUUCUAAGAAUUGCGUGCCUGGGUUCUCUGUUUGCCCGUGAUUGUUUUCUUUAUUGAUGUUUUAAGAGGAUUUGCGGCCUUAAGCCUGUUAACUCUUUCUCCAUUCUCUUUCAUAUUUUAACCAAUUUAUCACUUCUCUUUAUAUUUUAUGUAGGAUGUUUGGAUGGUUUAGAAUAACUCACUCUUCUGUUAAGAUCACUUUUAUUUACUUCAUGUUCAGAAAAUUCUUGCUCAUCCAGGCUCUAGUUAAAUAUAUGCCAGUAUUUUAUUCUAGAUACUUUUGGAUUCUUUUUUUUACAUUUAAUACACUGGGGUUUUAUUUCAGUGUAUGGUAUUAGGGAGGGAUCAAACUUGAUUAUUUCCCCCCCUUUUAGCCACAUUUUCCAAUUUUACUUUCAGAUAAUUUAACCAUUAACCAUUUCUUCCUGGUGAUUCCUUUCUGAGAUUUAAGUUUUUAAAAUAUGUAUGAUAGAUCUCAGGACUAUCUGUUUCUACUUCAUUGGAUGAUCUACAGAAUCUUGUACCACCAGCACCACACUAUUUUAAUUAUUGUGUCAAGAAUAAUACAGUUAGAUAUCUCUUAGGGACAGUAUCUCCUUGAUAUUCUUUAAGCAGUUCUUAACUCUUCUCAUCCUUUUUUUCCCUUCCAGAUGGACUUUCAUCAAAUUCAAAGAAAAAAAAAAAGAUUCCACUGGGAUUUAAUUCAGAUUGCAUUUCACCGAAAAAUUACAAGGAUUAACAACAAGGAUUAACAGCAUUGCUGCAUUCAAUAUUGCAACCCAAGGUUAUGUCUCUCUAUUGACUAUUCUCUUUAAUUAAUCUCUGUAAAAAGUUUGCAUUUUUAAUAUAGGUCUUGGAUAUUUCUUAUUAGUGUUCUUUAUAUUUUUUUCCAAUACUCUUAAGAAUGCAUUUUUCUCCCUAUAUUUUCUGCUUGUUGUUAGAAUAGAAACAGUAUUUAUUUUGGAGAUUUUUGUAUUUUUAUCUUGUAUCUGACCCCUUCCCUAAUUUUUAUUAAUACUAAGAAUUUUACAGUCAGUACUUUUAUAUUAUCUUGGUGCAUAAUCGUACUAUAGUCUGUAAGUAACAAACAUUUUGUUUCCUUCUUUCUAUUGUAGAAUUUGAGAAGUCGUCAGUGUGUAGUCCUGUUACCUUAAUUGUUUCUGAGUUAUGGGUUGAAUUUAUUUUGAAAUUUCAAAAAACUUCAAAGGGUAGUAUGUUAUUUUUGUGUUAAUCAAAAUGAACAAUGGGUUUAAAAAGCUUGAACAACGUCAUCUUGGGAGUGCCAGAUGAAUAGGAUGGCCUGUAUGUCAGGAGCAUGCCCACAUUUUUCUUGAUAGGGUGAGUUUAUUGUCCCGGAUGAAUCCCAGGAGUACUAGUCCAUGAUGCUCUUAUUCCCUGGUGCUUUAACAUGAAGUGCAGCCGGAGUCGGCCUGAACUUUAGGAAAUGAGGUCGUAAGUCGAAAGAACAGGGAAUUGAGAAAGCACACAGAAGCAGCCAGGGCCAACAUUUUCCCCUAAACAAGCCAAUCAACAAAAAGCAAUGCCAAACAAGCCCCUCUGAAACUUUCAAAGUCCUCAUCCUAGUACCUUCCUAGCACUCUAGGAGACAUCUUUCAGCUGUUGAUUUAUGAACGCUGAGAGGCACGUGGAGGAAUUAAUGGAGGUAAAUAUCUAACUUAAAAAAUCUUCAGUAGGCAUUUUUAGACAAUCCUCCUUGAAAGAAAAGUGUGGAUGCUCUGUGCAUGUAUUGACUGCACCUGCAGGGGUAUAGCUGGAGAACACCCAGUGAGCAUCUUCAGGAGCCAAGUCACGCAGGGGCUUAGCUCUCAGUCCAUUGCGACAGUUCCAUGAUGCCUUCUGACCACUAAACACUCUGAACUCUUUUCUCUCAUCCUCUGUUAUUCGCUUUGGACCCAUAACAGACUCAUUAGUUAAAAAUAAGAAGCAAAGGUAAUCCUGAUGUUGAAUUACAAGUUAAUGCAGAGCACAGACAUGAAAAUAAUUCUAUGGGUUUGCUGUAGCAUAAUCCUUGCCAGAUCUCCAAGUUCCAUUCAUCUAAUGAAAAGCCUUAGUUUGAAGAACAUUUUGGAGAACUCUUACAUCAAGAGGUCUCCAGUACCUCAAAAACCAGUGUUCAAAAGGAAAAUGCACACGCAUUUCAGGGAGGUGGGAAUAAAAGCCUUCCUUUGCGCAGCGUGUUACAUGUGGAAAUGUGGAACACACACGAUCAUUCUUACUGUUAAAAAACCCCACAAAGAUUAUAAAAAUAUGUCAGUUUUUUUUUGGUGCAAAAACUCACACGAUUAAAAAUAUUAUACUAUGAAAGC